GACGAACGCUGGCGGCGUGCUUAACACAUGCAAGUCGAACGGUGAAGCGCCUUCCUUUUUGGUGGGUGUGGAUGAGUGGCGAACGGGUGAGUAACACGUGAGUAACCUGCCCCCUUCUUCUGGAUAACCGCAUGAAAGUGUGGCUAAUACGGGAUAUUCUGGGUCUGUCGCAUGAUGGGUCUGGGAAAGAUAUUGUUUCGGUGUGGGAUGGGCUCGCGGCCUAUCAGCUUGUUGGUGGGGUGAUGGCCUACCAAGGCGGUGACGGGUAGCCGGCAUGAGAGGGUGGACGGUCACACUGGGACUGAGACACGGCCCAGACUCCUACGGGAGGCAGAAGUGGGGAAUAUUGCACAAUGGGCGCAAGCCGGAUGCAGCGACGCCGCGUGAGGGAUGGAGGCCUUCGGGUUGUGAACCUCUUUCGCCAGUGAAGCAGGCCUGCCUCGUUUGUGGGUGGGUUGACGGUAGCUGGAUAAGAAGCGCCGGCUAACUACGUG
rnacentral:rRNA from 1 species